GAGCUCGGGACGCAGCAGUCGAGAAUCAUUCACAAUGGGGGAAACCCUGAUGGUGCGACGCCGCGUGGGGAAAUGAAGGUCUUCGGAUUGUAAACCCCUGUCAUGUGGGAGCAAAUUAAAAAGAUAGUACCACAAGAGGAAGAGACGGCUAACUCUGUGCCAGCAGCCGCGGUAAUACAGAGGUCUCAAGCGUUAUUCGGAAUCACUGGGCGUAAAGCGUGCGUAGGCUGUUUCGUACGUCGUGUGUGAAAGGCGCGGGCUCAACCCGCGGACGGCACAUGAUACUGCGAGACUAGAGUAAUGGG
rnacentral:rRNA from 1 species